UUGGGUCACUGCGUCGCUUCCAACUUGUACUUCAUUUGGAUUUUUGUAGAGGUGCCUUUCUCUAAACUUGCAACAUAGCAUAGUAGUUAGUAUCUACUCUAAAGUAGGUGUUUUCAUUCAAGAAAGCUGGCGGGUGUGCAAAUGUGCUGAACUAUAAUCGUAGCAUUGUUAAAACAGUUCAAUAUUAUCUAAAACAGUGUUAAAACUUCAUACAACAGUUAAUGAAAUAGUCAAGAACCGUGGGCGCGGCGAGUGGCUCGACGACUGCAGCAUGGACGACGACCAGCAGUUCUGCCUGCGCUGGAACAACCAUCAGUCCACGCUGGUGUCGGUGUUCGACACACUCCUAGAGAAAGGCAUUCACGUGGACUGUACCCUCGCGGCCGAGGGCCAGACGCUAAAGGCGCACAAAGUCGUCCUGUCAGCGUGCAGUCCCUAUUUCGAGAAUGUACUAUCACAGCAAUAUGACAAGCAUCCAAUAAUCAUCUUAAAAGAUGUGAAAUAUGCAGAGCUAAGAGCCAUGAUGGACUAUAUGUACCGAGGAGAGGUGAACAUCUCGCAGGACCAGUUGGCCGCCUUACUCAAGGCUGCAGAGUCCCUGCAAAUCAAGGGCCUCUCUGACAACAAGCCGUCCCGACCGCCGUCGCGCCCUGCACAGGCUGCCCCAGCACACCCGCCUCGCGCUCCGUCUCCACCACCACAGGUGCGAGACGGUAGCAUAGACAGUCGCGAAGGGUCCAUAAGCCCGACCCGCCGCCGGAAGAAAGCGCGGCGCAUGUCCGUGGAAGUCCCCGCGCCUGUACCGCAACCCACAGAAAUCCAUGGAAAUGGAGAGGAGCCCCCUUGCAAGGAGGAGAACGCAAGAGAUGGUGUUGAGGAUCUCACGCUGGACGAGGAGGCCGAGGAGCCCCCAGCCGUGGCACAUAACGACGUCGUACGCAAUUUUCAAUGGCAUAUGGAAAGAUCUCAGGAUGAAAUCAUGAAUUCAAGUGACAGUGUUCGAGACUCGCAAGGAGCCGUGCCGGAGGACGUGUCUUUCACUAGGAUCGGGGGCCUGUCUUGGGACCAGUGGUCGGCGCGCCUGGCGCUGCCGCUCGUGGCCUCCAUGCGCGUCAGCGGCCCGCAGCUGCCGCCCGCGCCCGGCGAGCCCAGCUUCACCUGCCCCGACUGCGGCCGCGUCUACAAGCUCAAGUCCUCCCUCCGCAACCAUCAGAAGUGGGAGUGCGGGAAGGAACCGCAGUUCCAGUGCCCUUACUGCGUAUAUCGCGCCAAACAGAAGAUGCAUAUCGCGCGCCACAUGGAGCGCAUGCAUCGGGAAGUCCACAUGAAACCCGAACAAUACAUAAAGCAGGAUAACGUCGACGCUUGCACAUAGCGCGACCGGCAUAGUCACUAUUAAAUACUCCAUAUUUUUAUAAGAAUUUUGAAACUGUAUUGAUGUUAGUGUUACAGUCUUUUUUUGAUGUUUUUUGUCACAUUUUUGUAUUAAGGACCAAUUUUGAUGUUAAUAUUUACAGUUAUUAUAUCGUGCGAAGUAUAUAUUUGUCAAGACGUGAAAAGAAUCAUAUCAAAAAUCCGAAGUUUUCCUGAUUGUGAUAAAUGUGAUGAAAUCUAUUUGUGAUAGUGGCAUGGGCAGUCACGUUAGAUGUAGACGUCAACUAGGUCACAAAUGGUGCCUAUAAUCGUUACCCACUUAAUGCGACAUCAACGAGUGAUGAACAAUAAGAUACCACAAAUGACAAGUUACUCAUAGUAUUCACACUAGUUGCAGUUUGAUUGCGACAGUGUAAGAAACUGUUGCAUUUACAAUAAGAUUAAGAUGAAGUGAUUUGUAUAGUUACGCUUUUUACUAUUUUAUGUACAGCAUUUAUUAUGUAAACUUAUCAUUCCUGUACUAGGGCGUAAGUUCCGUGAUUAUGGAGCUUUGAUGUUACAUACUCUUUGUUUAAAAUUGUUACCAAUUACAGUUACUAUUAACAGCAUCGCUAACAGAUUUCGUACAAACAAUCGUACAAUUUAGAAUAAAUAUUUCAGUAUCGUCAGAUCUGAGGUGUACAACUUGCCACAUUUUGUUAAGUAUUUUGACAACCGUUUGUUUGAGAUGCAUAGAAAUCGUGAUUGAGAUGUGCUACUCAUAUAUUAUAUAGAAUGAUAUUUUAGUUUUAAUUAAAAUGAAGCUAUUACCGCUUAGUAAGCAAGCUCUAGUUCUCUGCCAUAAUGCAUGUUCCAUUAUAUUGUAAUACUCACUUAAGUUAAUUUUUCUAUUAUUAUUAGAUCUCUUUACGUCUAAUGCAUUUAUUUUAUCUUUAGUCUAGGAUUUUUUAUGUUAAAAUUCUUACAGCCGUGUAUCAGUAGAGUGGACAAUUGACAAAAUCGGUAGUUCCUGGAAUUGUGUGUCUGUCUGUUGAUUGAUACGUUCUUGUGAUUUUAUCUGUAAUUAUAAUUACUCCUUUUGGGGCCAAUCAUGGUUGUUAGGUCAAACCUGCAAUAGCUACAAGUGCCUUAUGAAAAUUGUUGAUUUUAAUCGUUGAAGCGGAAGACACUGCCAUUAAAAUUGCGUUAAUCGUAUCGAUACCUAGUUCACAAUCAAAUUUUUAGAAGUUCAAAUAUUCUUCCACGUAGUUUAAGUAAAUAUUUACACAUUCAUUACCAUUUAGAAAUUAUUAUAAGAUUAGUGCCGGUACCAUGUUACAGAAGCUUAUAAUAAAUUGUGAAAUCAAAAGAUUGUUGAUUUAGGGUUAACAUGGUGCCAUCGUAGGUUAUUUCCGGAGUUACCAUCAUACAAUCAAAAUGUAAAGUUCACAGUACAACCAUACGAAGUCUUGUCAAUAUAAAAAUAAGUGCCUUCAAUCAUUAGUCAUUAGGGUUUAAAACGUUCCAGUUUCUAAACUAGUUCAAAAACAGAAGCGUUAUGUUUGACGAUAGUGAUCCUCUUGAAAGUCUUGAAGAAGCUAACUUCUUUGGACAGCAUUUCUCAUAACUGUGAUAUGUAAAUUUUGCAGACAAUACACGGAGAAAACAGCGACUAAAUGUAGCAAAACUAAUGUAUUCCUAAUUAUUGGUAAGAUCAUGAUCCUAGUGAUGUAUUGCCCCUAUUUCACAGAGCCUUUAUUCAGCACGGGUUGAAAAGUGCAGCAUUCUGCCAUCUGUUAGUAAGAGACGGUUAUAUACAAUUAUACAUUCUCACUAACAGAUUGCUGCAUUACUAUGGCUUUUCAACCCGCGCAAAAAAAGCGCGUGUGUGAAAUAAGGGCAUUUGCUAAUGAACAAAUCUAGAUACUGCCUAGUGCCUAUAGAAUAUUACUAGGUGAUAGAACCAUGUGUAAUCUGUUGAUGAAGUUACAGUGAUUAAAUGCAUUUGAUUGUAUUUGUAUAACCAUUUUGUAUUUUAAUAAAGUUGCUAUACUUGA